rnacentral:tRNA from 1 species
CGGGAAGUAGCGUAAUUUGGCUAUCGCGCCUGCUUUGGGAGCAGGAGAUUGUGGGUUCAAAUCCCGCCUUCCCGA